CAUUAACAAGCCGUGGAGGUGACCUCUGCAAAGGGGUGAUCUCUCACCUGGCCACCCUUGUUUACUUACACCUGUUGCUUUGGUGGACCCGCCGCGAGGCCGCCGGGGAACUUUUGGUUUCUGGGUCUGUGUUCACCAAGGUUUUAACUAAAUCUAAGGUUGUUUUUGCUGUCUGAUUGGGAAAGCGCAAUACUGAAAAAAACUUUCAACAACGGAUCUCUUGGUUCCGGCAUCGAUGAAGAACGCAGCGAAAUGCGAUAAGUAAUGUGAAUUGCAGAAUUCCGCGAAUCAUCGAAUCUUUGAACGCAUAUUGCGCCCUCUGGUAUUCCGGGGGGCAUGCCUGUCCGAGCGUCAUUACAGCACUCAAGCACGGCUUGUUUUGUUGAGCAAUUGUUCUUUUUAUGAACAGGCUUGAAAUGCAGUGACGAGCGAUACUGAGUUUGGUGCCCCGAGUGUUAGGAGGCUUUGUCACACACUCUUGUGGGCCAGCCGGCGUUCUGUCAACUUGAUAUCAUUAUCGUUAGGUUGACCUCGGAUCAGGUAAGAGUACCC
rnacentral:rRNA from 1 species